rnacentral:sRNA from 1 species
AAUUCCAGAUUGAACUUGAACUUCAGGGACUUAGGAUGGGGGAACAAUGGACCAUAGGAAUCAAUAAUGUCCAUUUUCCACAUGAUUAUGUUUGGAGCUUUAAGUUAACCUUUAUGGGAGAAGCAGCAGGAUCUGCAGUGUGACGAAAAUGAGAUGAUCCUGAGACAAGAUGUUAGAGGAAAGAAAACAACUUUUUUCCGUGAGAUUUUCUGAGCAGGACUGCAGAUUCCAGCAGGAUUAGAAAAGUUCCCGCUCUGCAGUAAACCGGUGGCCUGUUCAGAGCACUCUUUGUUCGCUUAGGCUAGCCUCAUCUGAAGUGGAACUCAACAAACAAAUUAUUGACGUACAGCCACAUCUGCACAUAUGUAAGACAAAAGCAAAUACUGCAUUCAGCUGAAAAGCAACUGGAAUUGGAGAAAUAAAGCACAGUUAUUUGUGCUGAAUUUUGGGUUCAAGAGUUAUACUUCCACAGGAAUUUCAUUGUGAUGUGAACCUCAAUUCACAAAGUCUCUUGUAGAAUUCAGUGGUAAUAUAACUCCUAGUCC